rnacentral:lncRNA from 1 species
UGUUCAGCUUGCAGAAUAAUUUCUUCAGAAGAGAAACACAAGAAAGACCGAACACGUGGACCAAAUGGUUUUGAAGAGAUAUAACUCCAAACACGGGAAUGAAUGCAAAGGCGACGAUACGAUUCCAAGUAAGGAUUGGAAGACGAAUAGGUAACUUGAUCAAACCGUUUAAUUUCUUGGAAGAAGUUUUCCUCUGCAGCUUGAUUCUUGCAGAACACGUGUAGCAUGUCAUGAACAUGGCAUGUUUUAACUUUUCCAUUUGACCUCCGUUCUCCAACCAUGACUAAAUUCCUGUUGACAAGAUCGUCUAAGUACUCCUCUGCAAUAUCCUCCAAGCUCAUUCCCUCCUUUUGUUGUAUGAAUCCUUCAGCGAUCCAGAGACGAACCAAUUUCCACACUGGGAUUUGGCAAUCUUCUGGAAACAUCCCGAAGUAGAGAAAGCAUGCUCUCAAGUAAUAAGGUAAGUGAUUAAAACUCAAAGUUAUAAAACUGUCCAUACGUUUCUCCUGAUCCAUGGCAAUAUACGCAUCCACACUUUGAGCAACCUUUUCCCACCAAUAACUUUCAGUACCUUUUUCCAAUAGAAUUCCUCCAAUCACCACUAGUGCGAGCGGUAGUCCGCCACAUUCUCUGGCUAUAAGCCUUCCAGGUUGUAUCAACUCCUUAGGGCAUUCCUCUGCACCAAGUGCCUUUCUUUGGAGUAAUAUCCAACUUUCAUCAGAAUUUAGAAAACGCAAAUUAUGGGGCUCCCUGUUGGGGUUGGCAUGCACAGCCACUCUCCUGAUACGACUAGUCAGUAAUAUUUUGCUUCGCUUCUUAUUUCUGGGAAAAGCAAUUUUGAGAUCAUUCCAGGCAUCUUCAGUCCAGACAUCAUCCAUGACAAUUAAAUACUUCCCUUUCUCCAGGAAUUCACGAAGUUCCUUAGCUAUUUUUUCAUCAUUCAUCUUAUACAUCUCAUCACUUGGCUUAGCAAAAUGACUCCAAAUAUUGAGAAACACUUCCUUUCUAUUAUAUUCUUGAGAAACAUAAACCCAUGCUCGGUUAUAGAAUUCAUAUUCAAUUUUAGGAUCACGAUAUAUCAUUUUUGCCAGUGUUGUCUUUCCAAGGCCAGGCAUGCCAAUAAUUGAUAUAACUUCGAGUUCAUCAGGUCCUCCCAUGAGUAGAUUAGUAACAGUUUUUGCCUCAUCUUCAAAUCCCACCACAUUGUCUUCCUCUACAAUGGGAGCCUAUAUUAUAGUGAAAAAUGUUUAUUUCAGAAUCACAAAUAAUUAAAGAAUUGAUUUAAGGUUGUUCAUCUAAUUCUACUCAAUAUCUGAAAUAUCUAAAAGAUGAGUUCCUACCUUUUAGCUGGUGUCAUUUGAGAAUUUCAGAAAGUUCUCAGUUAUACAUUUCGGAAAAAUUUUACGCACUAGACUACAAAUAAGUUUCAAUAGUAUGCAAGAUAAUAGCAAGAAAACUCCUGCCUGCAGAACUUGUUAUCUUGGACUUCUACUUCGUACAACAGAAUUCAGAAUCACAUUAAGGAAUAUGAUUCAUGUCCAUACUUAGCGAUGGAGCAUGUAAAAAGAUAAGUUUUAUGUACAUUCAGAAAAAAGAAACUUGGAAAUCCUAACAAUUGUUUGACAUACCAGUUUAGUAAUAAAAAGGAAAGUUUUUUAUGGUGCACCAAUUUUGAAGAAUUAAUUCAAUCUGGAUCUUCAUAUAAAAUUUUGCUCCUUGAGUUCUCAAUGGUAGUACAAUUAUGAAGCCAGGAGAGUAACUAGAUUAAAAAAUGUUUUACCUGUGAAGGAAGCAUUUUUGAGCUCGAAGGAAUGGAGGUCAUUGAUCUGGAGGAUAAACGGAGAGCUUAAAUACAAUGCCUUUGUUGCCUUGCUUCUCAGCCUCAUCUUUCAUCGUUUUCUUAUACUGCUGGAUUUUCCGGGCAGAAGCAGCAGCUGAUUUGGUGGUACAGUACAAGUCAAUUAUCUGGAGGCUUAAAACAUCUGCAAGGCUGACUGGGACUGCUUCGAGGCUAGUGCAGUGUUUAAGAUAAAGACUCCUGAGUCUUGGGAAGUGAUGAGUCAAAGCAUGCCAAUGAACUAAAUCUGUCCUUCCAAUAAACAAGACUUUGAGAGCACGGAAACCUCCAUCCUCCGGCUGCCACCACUCUCCCUUAAAUGCAUUGUCUUUCAACUUUAGGAUCUCAAGGCUUUCCAACAUUCCCAAUGUAGCCAUUUGACUCCAAUCAAGAAGGGUGUCUGCCAGUGUUAGUUUCUUUAGCUUUGGUGGAAAUUUAUACCUUUGGGGAAGGCCAGCUAGUUUGCCUUCCGAAGGAGGCAAAGGAAAUACAUCAUUUAAUAGCUUCAAAUUUUCAAGGUAAUCCAAUUUUCCCAGGCUAUCAAACAAACUCGACACACCUUUGGGUUCCAAAAGUUUAGCUAAUUUGCCACGAAUACCCAAUUUCUUUAGGUUUGGAGCUCUGGCAAAUACAUCUUCUGUACAACUUUCAGGUGAGAUUGUAGAAAUUGUUUUUAGGUUAGCAUUUAUCAGGGAAUCAUCUUUACUUUUUCUUGAUUUAGCAAGAGGACCAUGUAAAAAUGUGGAUGCAUUUGUUUUUAGAUGCCUCAGUUGUAUCAUCUUCCAUAUAUCUCCUUUGAUUUCAAGGGUUCGUUCUGAAGUCUCAACUAUAAGAGUUUGCAUGUUCCAAAGGCUAGAAAUGGGAGAAGGAAGGAUCUUGAAAUUGCUGGACAGAACAAGAUACCUCAAAUGAACGAGUUGAGCUAGAUCAGUAGGAAAACGAGUGAAAAAAAUGGGUUUAGCAUCUAAAACCCUGAGCAAUUUAAAUGCUCCAGGGAUGGAGGAAGUGUGUUCAGCUUGCAGAAUAAUUUCUUCAGAAGAGAAACACAAGAAAGACCGAACACGUGGACCAAAUGGUUUUGAAGAGAUAUAACUCCAAACACGGGAAUGAAUGCAAAGGCGACGAUACGAUUCCAAGUAAGGAUUGGAAGACGAAUAGGUAACUUGAUCAAACCGUUUAAUUUCUUGGAAGAAGUUUUCCUCUGCAGCUUGAUUCUUGCAGAACACGUGUAGCAUGUCAUGAACAUGGCAUGUUUUAACUUUUCCAUUUGACCUCCGUUCUCCAACCAUGACUAAAUUCCUGUUGACAAGAUCGUCUAAGUACUCCUCCGCAAUAUCCUCCAAGCUCAUUCCCUCCUUUUGUUGUAUGAAUCCUUCAGCGAUCCACAGGCGAACCAAUUUCCACACUGGGAUUUGGCAAUCUUCUGGAAACAUCCCGAAGUAGAGAAAGCAUGCUCUCAAGUAAUAAGGUAAGUGAUUAAAACUCAAAGUUAUAAAACUGUCCAUACGUUUCUCCUGAUCCAUGGCAAUAUAUGCAUCCACACUUUGAGCAACCUUAUCCCACCAAUAACUUUCAGUACCUUUUUCCAGUAGAAUUCCUCCAAUCACCACUAGAGCAAGUGGAAGUCCACCACAUUCUCUGGCUAUAUGCUUUCCAGGUUGUAACAACUCAUCAGGACAUUCCUCUCCGCCAAGUGCCUUCCUUUGGAGCAAUGUCCAACUCUCAUCCGAAGUUAGAAAACGCAAAUUAUGGGGCUCCCUGUUGGGGUUGGCAUGCACAGCCACUCUCCUGAUACGACUAGUCAGUAAUAUUUUGCUUCGCUUCUUAUUUCUGGGAAAAGCAAUUUUGAGAUCAUUCCAGGCAUCUUCAGUCCAGACAUCAUCCAUGACAAUUAAAUACUUCCCUUUCUCCAGGAAUUCACGAAGUUCCUUAGCUAUUUUUUCAUCAUUCAUCUUAUACAUCUCAUCACUUGGCUUAGCAAAAUGACUCCAAAUAUUGAGAAACACUUCCUUUCUAUUAUAUUCUUGAGAAACAUAAACCCAUGCUCGGUUAUAGAAUUCAUAUUCAAUUUUAGGAUCACGAUAUAUCAUUUUUGCCAGUGUUGUCUUUCCAAGGCCAGGCAUGCCAAUAAUUGAUAUAACUUCGAGUUCAUCAGGUCCUCCCAUGAGUAGAUUAGUAACAGUUUUUGCCUCAUCUUCAAAUCCCACCACAUUGUCUUCCUCUACAAUGGGAGCCUAUAUUAUAGUGAACAACAAUCAUAUCAGAAUUCCGAAAAACAAGGUGCCAAUAGAGAUCGGAAUGCAUUCAAGACUGUACAAAACAAGAUUAAUUGUAAACUCUUCACAAGAAAAUAUCUGCGAUGAAAUAUCUCUAUCCAUGUCUAUAAAUUAAUCUAUAACUAUUUCAUAAUCCUCUAACAAUAUUUAGUUCUGCAUUUCAUUCGACAAUAGACUAUGAAAGCCUGUCAAAGGCUCUGGGAUUAGUAACCAAAAAAUAAAAAUGAAAAUAAAAAUAAAAGGAAUCUAACAUUUAUAUGACAAAGGACAGUUAAUCAGAUCCUUCAAAAUUAGUGAUAAACCAAUCAAUCCUAGAAACAUCAAACACGAUUGAAGAUUGUAUUGACUUUUGGUCAACCCAAUUUUUGUUGUCAAUGAAGUAUCCAGUUUUCAUGAUUUUCACUAGUAGAGGCAAUACUAAAAAUACUAAUACCAAGAUCCACUCAAGAUUAAGUACCAGACAACAGAGAAAUUUUACAUAAUACCAACUUAUAAGCUAACCCAGCAAUAUAGCUCUAAAAUAACUUAUUUUAUUAGAGUAAUUACCUUUUUCUCUUUUGCUUUGGUAGAUCUUUCCCCAUCUUGCAGUGCCUCAAACCCAAACUUCUUGUUGUCAUAUAUAUCCUUGACCUUGGCCCUGAUGCCCUCAAUCUUUUUCGCCACACUUCGAAGCUUUGCUGGAUAAUCGAAUAUAUGAAAAGCCCUCUCGAUGCUACUCCUGGACUUGUGCACAGCUGCCUGAGCAACAAAUGUGUCCACAGUGUCUUCAGCUUCAUAAACUACAUCUCUGAUUUGUUUCACCAAUUCUUGAAGGGUGGCAUUCUUGUUCCGCUUCUCUGUCGAGUCCUUGAGGAAAGCUUUGAACAAACUCAAAUCAUUGUACAGAAAUUCCACCUGACCCUUCACGUCAAGAAUCAGAUUUGCAUUGUAAAGAAGCAGCUGUUUCAAGUUUUCCAGCAGAAAUUCUACAGCAGCAUCAGACAUUAUUUCGCCGAUUAAUUCUUGAUUAAAAGGAAAAUCUAACUAGAUGUUGUAGCUAUACAUGGUGUCAAGUGAAGAUGAUUUAAGCUUGAAGCUUGAAGAAAGAACUCAGAAAAAGCUUCGAUAUUUUCAGGAAAGUGCAGAGGAAAUUGCUUAAAGAAACGAAUUAUUGAUGCAACUUGACCAAGUCAUUGUAUAAUCUUUUAUUCUGAACCCCACCUGCCAACAUAUAAAUUAAAAGCAAAUGACAGAUAAGAAUUGGAAUAAUUUAAAUUAGAGGUGUGUCUUCAUUCGUUGAGUUGAAAGAAUUGUGAAAAGUCACGUGCCGGCCCACAUAAACGAGAGAUAAAGUAAAGUUUCCUCGAAAUUACUGGGAAGGUAAGUGGGAACGGUAACUCAUUCGAAACGUUAUUACCAAAAAAGAAUUAAAUAAAUAAAUAAAAAAUAAUGCGGAAUGACUCGCGACUUACCAUAUCAACCUCAGUCCCAACACAUGUGCCCCCCGUCACCCCCACCCCCAAAAACACCUACCACCCGGACUAGGAGUGAGCAACGGUGUGAAUAAUUCAUCAUUUUAUAUUUAUUGCUAAGAAGUCGCGCUUGUUUUGGUAAUCGAAGCAAUUUUAUAUUUUAUAUUUCGUAGUGUCAAUAUUUUUAUAUAAUAGUACCAUAAAACAUAGGUGCAAUCGAGGAUAAGUCUAACAGGUUAAACUGUGACAUUUAUUUCUUUAUUAAAAUAAUAAUUAUUUGAUCAUAGCACUAUAAAAAUAAGUAAAAAAGGUUGAUUCCCUCAAUAAAAAAAAAUAAUUAAUCGCAAGUGGAUAUUAUUUUAAUUGAUGUAAUUUCAUGACUUAAAACACUUGGUAUGUUUAAAAGACUUAGCCCCUAUUUGGUUCUUAUUAUUUCCUCAUUAAAAUAAAAAAUAUGAUUGUUAUUUAUCACAUCAAAUCACCAAAUUUGUAUUUCUAUAUUUUAUAUGGGGUCCGUAACGACUAUAUUUUUCAUUCUUAUUUUUCCAAAAAUGAGAAACAAACGGGGGUUAGUGAAAUCAAUACUAAACUCCUUUGCCAUCAAGCAACAAGAUUACUAUAUCAAUUUUGUUCUUCAUAUUCACAAAACUGAAAAGUUUGAAACAGUUUUAAUGGCCUGAAAUUUUGGUAAUGCAUGUUAAUCAAGGUUAAUAUUGUUCCCAUUCUGGAGAGGUCAUAUCGUCAAUGUACAAUAACUCGUUAUUAUUAUUAUUUUUUGCGUUCUAUGCCUUGAUUAGUAAAAGGGCUUUUUGAAAUGUAAGACAGUGGUCCAACCACCACAUAAGUUAACAUUGGGCAACUCCAACCACAACACCAUUGCACCAUUUUUUGGUGCAAAAUUGCUCCAACCUAACACCAAACUUUGCACCAUUUUGGUGCAAAAUGGUGCAAAGUGUAAAAUAUCCAUUUUGCCCUUAUUUAAAAUUUCUCAAAUAAAUUUGUUGAGGGUAUUUAUGUAAUUUGUGCUAUAUAUUUUUUAAUACAAUAAAUUAUUAUUAUUUUUUAUUAAUACUAAUAUUAUUUGUGUUUAAAAUAAAUUUAAAAUGUAAGACAUAAUAAUUAAUUAAUUAAUUAAUUAAAAGACGAAAACAAUUUAAAAUACAUCAAACAAGAUUAUUUAUUAAAGUUAACACGAAAUAUAUUAAAUAGCAAUUUAUGUUCUAUGUUUAUUAAUUGUUCUAUGUUUUUUAUAUUUAUUAAUGAAUUUAAUCUUUUCCGUAAUUUAACGUAAUUAUUUAUUAAGUAAUUUAUGUAUUUAUGAAAUAAUUAAAUAAAUAAUAUUUCAAAUAAGUAGAUUAUAAAGAAUAAAAAAGGGAAGAAAAUGGUUAAAUACUGUUCAUUUGGUGUAAUUUUUGAUGUAAUGGUUGGAUAUGAAUUUUAAUUUGGUACAAAAUUUGGUGUAAAAUGGUGCAAAAUUUGGUGCAGGGUUAGAGAUGGCCUUAGUCUAGAAGAGAAGCACGCUGUCUUUCUUUGAUCCAACUCGGAAGAAAGAGCUAUAAAAAUGAGAUAAUGUCAACAUUAACCUCACGAAAGUUUCUACUUUCUAUUAAAAUGAGAGAGAUUCAAAUUUACUUGGACACUUAUCGAUUGACUAAUGCACUUGUGUGUUCAAAUUGAUGAACGAGCAUAUAAUAUAUAGAGUAGAGCAAAAUGCAAAGGCCAAUGAAAGUGUAUUACUAUAUUUUACAUAAUUCUUCACAAGUUAGCCACGGUUGUAACAGCAUAGUAUAAUUACAACAUAAGUUGGUUGUACUUUAGAGUGAAUUACUUGUAAGUACUUAUUUUGCAAACAUGGUAAAGUUACAUUUUUUUAAGAUAAUUAUAUUACCAUCACAAUUUUUAUUUGUUACACCACGUUAGAAACAUACCACAAUUAAAACACAUUUUGAUAAAUACACGACAACCAAUUUACAAAUACAACAUAACCCAAUCAAAAUUAUAAAAAGGAAAAAUAUUUUAUUAUAUUUUAUAUUUCAGUAUCAAUAUUUUUAUAUAUUAGUACCAUUAAAAAUAGGUGCAACAAGGGACAAGUCUAACGCAUUAAAUUGUGCCAAUUAUUUAUUUAUUAAAAUAGUAAAUUAUUUGAUCAUAGUAACUAUGCUACACUAACAAAAUGGGGCAGACUCCUUGACCAAACACUUACAAUAGGGGUGGGAGCCAUUUUUUUUGAAAUUUUUUAUUCACGCAGGUCCCAACAACACGUGAGAGGAUGUCAAACCUCAUGUCACCAUUUUUUUGUCAAACUAGUUUAAUUCAUAAAAUGAACUAAAGGUUGAUUUCCUCAAUAAAAAAUUUUAAUCAUAAGCGGAUAUUAUUGUAAUUAAUAAAAUCUCAUGAGUUAAAAACUUGUAGUUUUUAAAAGACUUACUAAAAUCAAUAAUAAACGCAUCUGUGUCGACCACUACAUAAGACGACGUGAGUGUAGGAGACAAGUAAGCUACCUUUCUUUGAUCCAACUUCCAGGACAUGAAAGAAAGAAUUCUGAAGGAGAGAAUUUCCAGAUCAAUCUACACAUUUUUCAUUUUCUAUUAAAAGGAGAGAAUAACGCAUUUGGAUUGACUAGUCCACUUAUUUGUUCAGAUUAACAAAUGAGCAUAUAAUAUAUAGACUAGACCUAAAUGCAAAAGCUAAUGAAAAUGUAUUACUAGGUCUAUACUAUGUUACAUAAAUCUAGCCUUGGUAAUGUAACAUGUUUGGUUAUACUUAAAAGUAAAUUAAAUUUACUUCUAAGUUACUUAUUUUGCAAACACGAUUUGCAUGUUUACAUUUUUUACUCAUAAGACUAACUUUUCUAGAAAAUAAGUUAAGAUGUCUACCAUAAAAGUAACUUAUCAUCGACUCAUUUGUUUCCUCACUAAUGGUCAUGAUUUACUUAGUUACUGUAUUUAUCUAUAAAACAAUUUUGUCAAUUUGCAAUGAAGUUCUUGAAUAUGUCACUGAGCAUGACGAUGGAAUUUUAUAAUAGAAGAUAUCGAUUGCUGAUACCCUUUAGAGAAGAAUGUUUUCGUUGUUAUAACUACGUAUUCUCCUUUUUUUUUUUUUUUUUUUUUUUUUUUUUUUUUUUUUUCCUUUUUUUUUUUUUUUUUUUUUGGUAUUGUUCUGAACUUCAAUGCAAUUUUACACAUAAAAAACAGUGAGACUUAGCUUAAUAUGAUGAAAAAGAUAAUAGCAGUUGAACACAUUGAACAUAAUGAAAUGCAAGUUUUCAUUUUUCAACUUCAAGAUCAUUUUCCUUACUAACCACAAAAACAUAUCAGAAGUCUAACACAGACAGAAGGUAGAAAUGUAACAUACAAUAAACUGAAGUACAACAGAUUGUUUCAUUCCAACAAGAAGAAGAUUAGGAAGCAAAGCCAUGUCUCCGUGCAUCAAAAUUCCGUUUGGUCAACGUUCUUGGCACUGUUGCUUAUUGAAUUUUCUGCGCGUACAAAUAGUACAUAGAAUCAGUCGUAUAAAAAGAGAAUCACAAUUUAUAAAUAUUUGUUUUUUAGUCGAAUUAUCUGCCCGCAAAUCAUGGAUUAGAUCCUACUCUGAUCAAGUACAAAACAUAUGCUUCAGAUUUGAAGUUUAGAGCGAGUUUUUUAUAGGCUCUCAAACAAAAGAACGAUAUGAGUUCGUGUAAAAAUGGUUUUGUAUAUUGAUAUGUUCAAAGAGUAAUAUUACAAGGAAUUAUAUACAUAAGAUUUGUAUCUAUUCUAGGAAAAUGAAAUCAGUAAAAUGUAAUUAAUCUUCGAUAAUUUGUCUAAUUCCUUUAAUUUAUCAAUUAACAAUAUUGACAGAUUUGUAUCCGUUAAUACUCCCACUCAAGUUAAAGUGUGGAUGUCUAUCACACCUAACUUGCUGACAUGAGAAUGAAAAGUCGCUUGUCCCAAUGGUUUCGUAAAAAUGUCCGCAAUUUGUUGUCCGGUGUGUACAUGUGUGGUUCUAACUUCUCCUCUUUGUAUUCUUUUCUCGAACAGUAUAACAAUCCAAUUCUAUGUGCUUUGUACGCUCGUGGAAUAUUCGAUUCGCUGCAAUGUGAGUUGCCGCUUAGUUAUCGCAAAACAGUUUGGCUGGUUCAGGGUGUUUAACAUGCAAGUCACUUAAAAGAUAUCUCAGCCAAGUAAGUUCACAAGUAACGACUGUCAUUGCUCGAUAUUCUGCUUCGGCAGAUGACUGUGACACAGUGGGUUGCUUUUUGCUUUUCCUAGAAAUCAAGGAACUUCCCAAUAACACACAAUAACCUGUAAUUGACCUUCUUGUAGCUUGACAGCCAGCCCAAUCGGCAUCACAAUAAGCCGUGAGUUUUAAAGAACUAUGUGUGGGAAAAAGGAGGCCUUGACCUGGUGCAUUCUUCAAGUAACGAAUUAGGGAAGAACUGCAUCAAGGUGAGGUCUUCUUGGAAGCUGCAUGAACUGAUUGAGAGUAACAACUGAGUAUUUGAUUUCCGGUCGCGUGAUUGUUAGAUAAAUCAACUUCCCAACAAGUCGACGAUAUCACAUUGGAUCAUGAAGAGCAUCACCAUCCAUUGGAUUAAGUUUCAAGGUCUACUCUUAGGAAUUUUGCAUGUUUUGCACCAAGUAAGCCGGCGUAAAAUGAUCGCAAUAAAGAUUGUGCUUCAGAUUUAAAAGUCAUAAGAUGAACCCAUGUAAAGCGUGAAAAAUUGUCUACAAUAGUAAGAAAAUACUUUGCUCCAGAAAGAGAAUUUAUUUUAUUAGGUCCCCAUAUAUCAGAAUGGAGUAAGUCAAAAGGUGCAAAUGAUGAAAUUGAACUAGAAGGAAAAGGUAAACGAGUUUGCUUUGCUAAUGGGCAAACCUCGCAUACAUGUUUGUUAUCAAAACUUAUUUCGAGUAUGGAUUUUGACAAUACUUGGUGGGGUGUGGUAGACGGAUGCCCAAGUCGUUGAUACCAAAGACUAGAGACAUUGUUGACGUGAGGUGCAAGGUGCGGAUUCUGAUGUGAUGAAAGGUAGUAAAGGCCGUUAUAUUGCUUGCCCAGGCCAAUCAUACUCUUCAUGUCCACAUCCUGAAUAACACAAAAAUCCGAAAAGAAAGUUACUGUACAAUUCAACACUUUAGUAAGUUUGCUUAUGGACAAUAAAUUUAUCCUGAAUUUUGGCACAUGUAACACUCCAUCAAGUUUCAAUUCUUCAGAUAAUUGGUAGGAACCAACAUAAUUAAUUGGUGCUGUUCUACCAUUAGGUAAGUUCACAAAAUCAUGUUGAUGAAUUGGAUUUAUAGGUUGUAGAUGGCACGUAUGAUAUGUUGCUCCACUAUCUAUAAUCCAAUAUAAAGUUGUGGGCGAAUUUUGUUUACCUGUGGCAUUUGCAAAGGCAUUAGCAUUCAUUUUGUUCAACAUGGCCAUAAUUUGAUUGUAUUCCUCAGUUGUGAAUGUUGGGCCUUCUUGUUUGAUUGGCUGCACUUUUUGAGCAUCUUCUUGACUAAUGCUGGAAUUAUUUGUUGUAGCCCUCAUAUUCUUCGGCUGGAUGUUUUUACCAUGAAAUUUGUGGCCAACUGGGAAACCAUUCAAGUAGUAAUAGUACUCCACCAUAUGUCCCUCUUGAUCGCAAUACAUGCAUUUGGAUGUCUUUCGGGAUGCUCCUCCAGUGCGAGAAGUGAUUUCACGUGAGCUACUGCCCUUAAAUGGUUUGCCUGAUUAAUUUACAGCCAUGGCUUGAAAAUUGCCGUAGGUUCCUUCAUGGUGUGAGGCGACGUCGAGUUGUCGUUCAUGUUGCAAGGUUAUGGAAAAGGCCUUUCGAGUAUCCGGCAGUGGACUCAUCAUUAAUAUGAUUCCUCUAACUGCAGCAUAGGUUUCAUUUAAUCCCAAAAGAAAUUGCAUAAGUAUCUCCUUUUCCAUUCUUUCAUUGACUUUCUUCUGUCCUCCACAUGUACAGGUAAAUGGUUCCUGAUAGAAUGCUAGUUCAUCCCAUAAAGCUUUUUUUUUUUUGUUGAAGUAGACGGAGAUUGAAUCUGAAUUUUGUCGGUGUUCAACAAUUUCUUGCUGAAUUUGGUAAAUUCUUGAUUCAUUCCCUUGUGAAAACCGAUCAUAAGGAUCUUUCCAUACAGUCGAUGCCGAAUCCAUGUAGAUUACGUUGGAAGCAAUGUCUGGACUCACAGAAUUCAGGAUCCAUGAUAAUACCAUAUCGUUGCAAUGUUGCCAAGAAUGAAAAGUUUUAUUUGUGGGUGACGGCAUCUCGAUGGAUCCGUCGAUGAGCCCGAUCUUAUUCUUUGCACUAAGACCAAUGCGCAUGGCUCGACUCCAUUGUCCGUAGUUGUGUGGUUCAAGGACUUUGGAAACCAAGAUGAGGCUCAGAUUAUCCGAACUGUGUAGAGUGAGUGGAUUCUCAUUCAUGGUGAGGCUUGAAUUUUCUAAACCAUGUUGGGUGGUGGAAUUCUCAUUUAUGAUUUCUGUGUUGUCAGCCAUUUAAUUUGAUGUGGUUGCGGGAGGUGUUUUUGGUUUAUGGAGUCACCAAGAUCUGUGCUCUGAUACCAUGUAAAAAUGGUUCUGUAGAUCGAUAUGUUUAAAGAGUAAUAUUACAAGGAAUUAUAUACAUAAGAUUUGUAUCUAUUCUGGGAAAAUGAAAUCAGUAAAAUGUAAUUAAUCUUCCAUAAUUUGUCUAAUUCCUUUAAUUUAUCAAUUAACAAUGUUAACAGAUUUGUAUCCGUUAAUAGUUUGUUCAUUGAAUCUACUGUUCAAGAUAUCUAAAAGAUACCGUUGCUACCUAUCAAUUGGCAUUAUUCGAGAAGUACAAAAAGUUCUGUUCUGCUCUGCUCUACUAAAAUUUGUUAUCUUGGAGUUCAAUGUCAUACAACACAAUUAAGAAUACUACUGUAGAACAUUUGUCAAGUUUUGCAUGAUUCAAGACUUUCAGAGGUCAAUUCUACUAAAUUAUGUAAAUUAUCUACUUAUUGUAAAACGAGUAGCAUGAUCAUUUAUAUGCAAGUAUGCAUGGUUCUUGAGUUAAAAUAAAAAAGUUAAGUGACUAAAUCUUCAAUAAAAGUUAAGUUGACUUACUUGUAAGCUUUUACAGAAAUAUUCCCACGUGAUAUCACUGAUCUUCGGCUGGAGGUUCUGGAGGGUAAAUGUUAAGCUUAAAUCCACUGCCUUUUGUGCUUUGCUGGUCUUCAAAGUUUUUUUUAAGCAGUUCAAUUUUUCUGGCAGAAGCAGCUGCUGAUUUGUUGGUACAGUGCAAGUCCAUUAUCUGAAGGCUUGAAAUGUCACCAAGGCCUGAUGGCACUUCGUAGAGUUCAGUGCAGUGUUUAAGAUAAAGACGCCUAAGUCUUGGGAAAUGUACUGCUGAAGCACUCCAAGAAACUAAAUCAGUCUUUCCAAUAUGCAAGACUCUGAGAGCCCGAAAACCUCCCUCCUCUGGCUGCCACAAUUUUCCCGCAAACGCAUUUUCUUUCAACUUGAGAAUCUCAAGGUUUUCCAAUUUUCCUAGUGUAGACAUGUGCUCCCAAUCUAGCAGAGUGUCUGAUAGUGUUAGCUUCUUCAGUUUCGGAGGAAAUUUGUACGCUUGUGGUAGGCUAACUAGUUUGCUUUCGCAAGAUGGCCGAGGAUAUACAUCAUUCAAUAGCUUCAAAUUUUCAAGAUUAACCAAUUUUUUGCCAAGGCUAUCGAACAAAAUAGUUCCACCCUUGCCCUCCAGAAGCUUAGAUAAUUGGCCACGAAUACCCAAUUUCUUAAGGUUUGGAGCUGCAGCAAAGACGUCUUCAGAACAACUCUCAGGUGAUAUUGUAGAAAGUAUUACCAGGUUUCCACUUUUCAAAGAGUCUUCUUCACUAUUUCUUUUUUUACUGGUAAAGGGGCCUGCCAGAAGUUUCGAUAAGUCUCCUUUACUUUUGCCUGUUUUGAGCAAAGAUGUGGAAGCAUUUACUUCAAGAUGCCUCAGUUGAAUCAUCUUCCAUAUGUCUGCUUUGAUUUCAAGGGUGUGUGUUGAUGUCACAACUAUGAGAGUUUGCAAGUUCUUGAGUUUGGAAAUAGUUUCUGGAAGGAUGGCAAUGGUAAUGGAGAGAACAAGGUACCUCAAAUGAAUCAGAAGAGUUAGGUCGGUAGGAAAUUUCUUGAAAGUUAUGGGUUUGCCGUCUAACACCCUGAGCAACAUAAAGUGUUUAAGGAUGGAAGAAAUGAGAUUAAGUGGCAAUGUAAUGUCUUCAGGGGAGAAACACAAUAAAGACCGAACAUAAAAACCAAAUUGUUCAGAAGGGAGAAUGUCCAAAACGUGGGAAUGAAUGCCAAGGCGGCGGUACUUUUUGAAGGGAAGGAUAGGGGCAGAUGAAUUGGAACAUUGAUUGAAAUGUUUAGUCUCAUGGAAAAAAUUUUGUUUUGCAGCUUCCUUCUUGCAAAAGUCAUGAAUCAUAUCAUGCACAUGGCAUAUUUUAACUUUACCAUCUGAUCUUCGUUUUCCCACGAUUACUAAAUUCCUGUUGACAAGAUCCUCCAAGUACUCCUCUGCAAUAUCUUCCAAGUUCAAAUUGUGUUCUUCUUUCUCUAUGAGUCCUUCAGCAAUCCACAAGCGAACCAGUUUCGACAUUGGGAUCUGGAAGUCUUCUGGGAACAUUCCAAAGUAGAGAAAACAUGCUCUCAAGUGAUGAGGUAAGUUGUUGAAACUUAGUGCUAUAAAUUUGUCCAUGCGUCUCUCCCGGUCUAAGGCUAAAUAUGCAUUCACCCUUCCUUUAACCUUUUCCCACCAAUGAAUUUCGGUACCUCUUUCUAGUAAAAUUCCUCCAAUUACCACUAUUGCGAGCGGUAAUCCCAAACAUUGUUUGGCUAUAAUUUGUCCAUGUUCUAUCAGCUCCUCGGGGCACUGCUUUGAGCCUAGUGCUUUUUUUUGGAGUAAAGUCCAACUUUCUUCCUCAGUUAAAAAACGCAAGCAAUGAGGAUCCCUGUUCGGGUUGGCAUGCUGACCCACACUCAAUAUACGACUGGUCAAUAAAAUUCUACUCCGAUUCUUGUUAUUGGGAAAAGCCAUUUUGAGAUCACGCCACACGUCAUCAUUCCAAACAUCAUCCAUGACUAUCAAAUAUUUUUCUUUCUCCAGAAUUCCUCGAAGUUUAUUAGCCAAAUUUUCGACACUCAUCUUAUACAUAUUAUCGUUGACAUCACUAUCGCUAAGCUUGCAUAAAAUAUUGAGGAACACUUCCUUUAUAUUACAUUCUUGAGAAACAUAAACCCAAGCCCGACUAUAGAAUUCAUAUUCAAUUGUGGAAUCGCAAUAAACUUUUUUAGCCAGAGUUGUUUUACCGAGUCCAGCCAUACCAAUGAUUGAGAUAACUUCUAGGUCCUCCGAUCCUGUAGUGAGAAGUUUGAUUAUUUCUUCUGCCUCAUCUUGAAAGCCCACCACAUUUUCUUCCUCUACAACGGGAGCCUGUGUUAUGGUGAAUGGUUAGAUCAGAAGCUUGGGUGCCAAUAAUUAAAUGACACAGAAAUUAGAAUGCAUCAACGGAUCUUCACAACAAAAUAUUCUCGAAAUAGUAUAAAUGUUAUGUCCAUAGGCUAAUCUGUACCUAUUGUAAGCCCCUGUUUGACAAAACUUUUUGAGAUUAUGAGAUGUGGGUGUGAUUAAAAGUUAAGUUCAAUCAACUUAUAAUCUCAAAAAACUUCGUCGAACAGAGAUUAGAUCUCAAAAUGAGAAUAAAUAUAUUACCUCUCCCUACUGAGCUUCUUUCAGAUCUAAGAAUACAAUUAACGAAGCUACUUCAACUAAUGUAGUUUAUGAAUUAAUUUCAACGGAACCACAAUUUUCACCAACUUUAUCAAGAUCUAUUAAAAAUCUGAUUUUUAGCUACCCCAAAUAAGGUCUUAAUUAGUAUUAUACCUUUCUCUCUAUUGUACUUCUUUCAGAUCCCUCCCCAUGCUGCAGUGCAGGAAAGACAGCCCUCUCCUUUUCAUACAUAUCCCUCACAUCUUUCAUGAUGGAUUUAACAUCUAGGGCCACUUUUCGAAGAUUUGCCCCGUAAUCGAGUAUAUUUAUAGCUCUCGAUAAGUAACUCCGGGCCCUGUGAUCAGAUGUAAAGGAAACAAAUAGUUCCACAGCGUCUUCUGCUUCAUAAACCACCUCUCUGGUUUGUCUCACCAUUGUUUUCAUACGUUCAUUGCUAUUGCGCGUUUCUGUUGAGUCCUUGAGGAAAGCUGUCAAAUACUCCAACUCACUGUACAGAGAUUCUACAUCACCCUUCACGUUACAAAUCAGAUCGGCGUUGUAACGAAGUAGCUGGUAUAGUUUUUCUAGCAGAAAUGUACCAGCUGCAUCUGCCAUUUGGCUUUGCUUAAACGAUAAAAGUGGGCUGCUUCUUAGCUUUUCAAUUUUUUCCUUUUUGGCAGUAUGAACAGUGGGAAGAGAGAAAGAUCGAAGAAUGAAGUGAGAAAAAGCCGUUAGUUUUCUGCUUUAUCUUUAGGAAGGGCCCCCUGUUUGGACAGGGCCUGUCCAAGGAGAAUUAUCCCUUUAGGAAUCUCUGGUCGGGCUCAAUUAUUAUUAUUAUUAUUAUUUUAUUUUAUUUUAUUUUUUAAGUUAAUCAAAUAAGUACCUAAUGAAUUUUCUUCCUGUCAUCACUUGCUCAUCCAAAAUAUAUAAUUAUGAAAUACUCACUGAAUUAUUCCCAUCCAUCAUUGGAGCCAUUACUGCUGGCAAAAAAUCCACAUUAUAAUUCGGACCAAAGCGGAAGAUGUUGCCGGCUUAAUUCAAUACCAAGUUGUUGAAAAAAUAAGAAAUUAAUCCACAGCAUGAAAUGAUUGAUCACGAAAAUACAAGAACGAAUAAUUUGCAGAAAAUAGAGAUUUUAUUAUAAUAUGAAGAAAAAAUACAAAUGUUUUAUAUUUAUAAUUUGUCUAACUUGUAAUAAGGUUAAACAACCCAACUAAAUUGUAGAGAAUGGUCAAAUAUAUAUAUGGAGCAAUCUAAGCCCUAGAAGUAAAGUUGUAGAUGAAAUAGAAUGCUCAAAAAUCUUCGUAUAUUGAUCUCUUUAAAUCCAACACCAAUUCCAACUCCCAAUAUGACUUUCAAAUAGAAUUUCAAUUAAAAUUUGUCAAAUAGACUUUAAAUAAGAUUCCAAAAAUAUUUCAAAUAGAAUUUUUGUUAAUAUGCACUUUAAUUAGAACUCUCAAUUAUCUUCAACAAAGUAAUCAGGUCAUACCCAAAUUCUAACAAUCUUCAUCUUGAUACGAAUUCCACUGCAAUGAACAAAACUUAAAAAAAAAAAAAAAAAAAAAAAAAAAUUCUCCACUUGGAGACAAAUUUUCCACUGCAAAAAAUAAAUUUGAACUCUUCAAAGAAUAUACAAACGAUCUUCUCCAUCAACAAUUCCAAUUGAAAAUAUUCUCCAACUUUGCUACCUGAACUACGGCAAAACUCAAUAACUAAGUAUUAACAAAAUUCCAAGAAAAAACUUUGGACACAAAAGUUGCUUGAAUCAACAAAAUAAAAAAAUGUGAUUAAUAAUAACCAAACUAGGCAGUAACAAAAUCACAGCCGAAUGCAUCAAAAGAUUGAUUUUGAUUAGAAUCAACACACUUAACCGCAUUCAAACCAUCAACAGAAUUAGUAGAAUUGUACCUAUAUGGAUUCUUACUACCAAAAUUUGGUCUAUUUUCUGGCAAUUGAAUAUGAUGACAUCGUCGAUAAUAGUGGCAAGACGGAUUUACUCAUAUCUUUAAAAUGCAACUGAGAUGUAUUCUUAAAAUAAGGCCCCAAAUUAGGUUCCAAUGAUACAGAAGCCAACUCUAAAUCCACUUGGGUUCUUAAAAUAUGUUGAUUACUCAAAGAUUAUGUAACACCCUGAAAGAUAUAGAAAUGGGAUUUUCUAUAUCCUAUCAACACAACACGGGCUCCCUCGAUAACCUUCAGAACUCCACUUUCAACCGUGUACCUGUAUCCUUUUGAAUUAAGAGUACUUAAGGAGAUAAGAUAAAUCUUCAGAUCUAGAACGUGUCUCACUGCAUCAAGGAUGCAAGUGUUAUCCGAAAUGAUUAGGUAUAAAGCGUCUGUAGGUGGCUUUUUAAGUCCGCCGUCAAAUCCCAGGGCUCAACCCUGGACAGGUGGUGGAAUCUCGAGACGUUCUUCGAACUCAUCAUAGACUUUAUUGAGAUAGGUGAAAAUCCCUCUCUCAGAACCGUAUAUGAGACUUUCAUCUCGUACAGUUCAAGCAAAAACACCCAAAUACUAGUUGCAACGGAUAUGUAAUGAGUCCGAAUAAAUAUGUUUUCGAACCUUCUCUUUAAAAUUAAAAGUGGAUGUUCCUGCGCGAAUCUCAUCAAUCUAGUCCCAACACACUUGAUGUUAAGAAAAGAUCUCUUGUAGGAAAGUUGGCUAGAAAUUUCUUGGUUACAUUUCUUUAUGUUAUUUGUACCAGUAACCGGUUUAUGGAUGAGUGCUUUUGGAGUAGUCGGUCUGGCCUUGAACCUACGCGCCUAUGACUUCGUUUCUCAAGGAAUUCGUGCAGUGUUUUAACCAUCUCAUCAAACAUCUUUAUUCUGACCCAACCAAUACCAGUUAUUUGACAAUGUGUGUUACUAUCGAUUAUCACAACAUAUUUUGAAACUUCUUCAUAUGUUGAAAACAUUUCCUGAUUGCAUAACAUAUGAAAAAUACAAGUUGUAUCAAGAAUUCAAUCCUCGUCAGGUCUGUAAUUGUAGUCAGAAAUAAAUAAAAAUUCUCCAUCACUGUGAAAAGUUUCAACAAUGGCUUCACCUGAAGUAUAUAAUUGCUUUCCCAUCUGAAAAGUUACAGCCAAAUUUUCUCUAUUACGCUACUUAUAGCAAUCCUUAAUUAAGUACCUCCGAUCCUUGCAAUAAAUUUUGAAGUUAGACCUUAAUUUGCCCCUUGCUCAACCACCAUCAAGAACAAGGCCAUCUCUAUGAAUCUCAACAAUAUGCUUCAUCUUCUUCUUUUAAAAAUAGAGCAUCAUAAACUUUUUCAAUGGUGAGAUCACAACUAUAUAAAAGCAUGUCUUUAAACAACAAUAUGAAACAUGCAAAAAACACAACAAAAUCAAUCUCAUAUAAAUGAGCAAUGCUCACCUCUUAAUUUGCCACACCGAAAAUCUCGUACUGCGAUCCAAUAACGGAAUAUUAUACUUCAUUGUUGCUAUCACGAAAACCUCGAUCUUCUCAAAAAUUUCAACACCAAAAGGCUCUAAUAACAUCUAUUAUAAUCUGGACCAAAGCGAAAGAUGAUACUGGAUUAAUCCAAUACCAAUUUGUUGGAGAAAAUAAGAUAUUAAGCAACAAUAUAAAGUAAUUGAUAACAAAAACACAAAAAUAAAAUAAUUUGUAGAAAAUGGAGAUUUUAUUAUAAUAUAGAGAAAAAAUACAAAGAUUUUGUGUUUAUAAUUUGUCUAACUUGUAAUAAGGCUAAACAACCCAACUAAAAUUGUAUAGAAGAGCCAAAUAUAGAUAUUUCACGUAUAAUUGUAUGUGAAAUAGAAUGUCCAAAAAUUUUCUUAUUUUGAUCUCUUUAAGUCCAAUACAAAUUCCAACUCCCAAUAGAGUUUCUAAGUAGAACUUCAACUAGAAUUCGUCAAAUAGACUUCGAAUAAGAUUCCAGAAGCUAACCGAUUAGAAUUCCUUUUAAUGUACAUUUUAAUUAGAGCUCUCAAUUAUUUUCAACAAAGAAUUCGGGCCACACCCAAAUUCUAACACCACAUGACGGAUUAAAUAUAAUGUGGCAACAAACGGAGUUAAUGGAGGACACAGAAGAUUAAACAAAGCAUUGAAUUGAUUCGCAAUUUCACUUUCUGUUAAUAAAUAAGUUUGUUUUGUUUUCUCACUCCUAAAACAAACUACCAUCUCAAAAUUCCAAUUGAAUUGCAUAUAACAAAAUCAGGUCCCCAAUUGAAACCUAACUCUAGGAAGAACCAAAUUCUUCAAUUCAUCAUGAAAAACUCUUCAUGCCACAGCUUGUUUGAAGUUGUGAAAUUGCCCUCACUGAAUUUUCAGAAUUUUCCUUUUUUUUUCCCUCCAUUAUUUCGGUUACUUUCUCCUUCAAAAUUCACUACCAAAAAAAAAAAAAUAAAUAAAUAAAUAAAAUAAAUAAAAAUUGCAUACCAAUAAAAAUGGUCGCCAAAAGAGUAUCCUUGUCGCUGAAGACGUUUAGCGUCCAAUUAAUUGUGAUCGGUGAGUGGUUGCUAAUACACCAUCGGUGAAUGUUUUCUGCGACUAAUAUGUGUGGUCGCUAAACAUUUAACAUUCAGUGACGAAAUUUUGGUCGCUACAUGGUUCGGUUUUGGUGUCUAGUAAAAGUGAAAAAUCGGUCAACAUCUAUAGUGACCAAUAUACCGUAGUUGCUAAUAUAUAACUUCCAGCGACCAACAAAUUGGAUACAUACGAUGACCAACCAUUGCUUGGUUGUUUAAAUCAUACUGACCAGCGACCACAUUUAAUGGUUGCUGAUAAAUCCAAAACAACGCAAAAAGAUAUGUGACAUUUGCCGGCCAAGUUAUUCAAUAACCAAGUUAGGUGUGGUAGUUGAAACCAAAUAGCAACCAUAAGGUAGUCGCUGAAGCUACCUUUUUUGCAGGAAAAAUGUGAUUUUUUUCCCUCCACAAUCUUCAAUAACCAACGGAAUGUAUGGUCCCUAUCCUUGAUACUCUGAAUCGGCAACCAAGUUUUGGUCGCUAAAGAGUACAUAUAUAUAUUAGUUCCAUUUUAACAGACUAAAAUUGUUACCAACCAAUUUUUGGUCGGUGAUAGUGUCCUAUAGCAGCCUCAUUUGAUUGGUUGCUAAAGCUUUGGUCAGUAGAGCCCAAUUUUCUUUUGUUUUUUUCCAGUUAGCUUAAUCAUCAAUUUCCUGUGGAGAAAAUGAAACCUUACUCAAUGUUGCAGUGGAAAUUACAAAACAAAGAAUGCUAUAGAAAGGGACAAAGCUCGCUGUCUUUUAACCACCAAACACAGAUGCAGUAUUCCGUUUUAAUCAACUACAAGCAGUAGAAUAAUAUUAAACCCAGAUGCAUUGGAUCGAUGCGUUCGGUAGUGUUAAUAGUUCAAGGGUCUUAUAUAGAAUCCUGUCAAUUUUGUUGUCUUAAAUGAUGGUCCAAGUUGCCAACUAUCUAUUGUUGUACAAAUAACUACUGUGAAAGUGCCCCCCGGGGCAUAGUUUAGUGGUGCAAAGAACAGAAGUGAGUUUAUCUCACGCCUUGUUGGCACCCAUAGUGUGAGGGUUCGAUUCCUGAAAUAUGGAAUUGGACUCCUUAUAGGCGCAGUAUACAGGCAGCUCUUGUUCCUUGGUCUGUUGGGGCAUAUCUCUCGAUUUACCUCCCUCACAAAGUUUAAGGGGCGGGACGGUGAGGGCCCUCAAGGUUGGGGUUCAACCUUUACAAAUAACUACUGUGAAAGUUCUCGUAAUAGGUGAAUAUAAAAGUGGUAAUUCUGCUUCUUUUGGCUUCUUUACAGAGCUUGGAGUAAACUAAACAAUGGCUUAUCUUCCCUUUUUAUGUGGUGGAUUUUAUUCAAAGAGCUCGUGAGCAGUAGAGUUUUCAAAGCUCUUCGAGCCAAAAACUAUGCUGCAUUGGCAUUUGUGAAAUUUCCAGAUAGAUUGUAGGAUGUCCAAACCUAGGAUUGCCAAGGGGAUGAAGAUUUGUCUGAUUUGAAAUCGUUUUCCCAUUUAACAUGUUUUUGGUUACUUAGAAAAUAAUAAUUUUAGAUGAGGCAUAUAUAAUUCAUAUAUUUCAUUUAUCACGUCAUUUUUCAUCCGUCAUAUGGAAUUUUUUGCUUAGUUAGAGGAAAUUGACUCUAGUGAUGGAAGUGAGCAUUUGGUAACCAUUUAUUUUUCGAUGAGUAAGUUAUAGCUAUAUAUAAAAUUUAAAGGGUUUUGCUAGGCCUUGUCACUUUGGGGGCAUCUGACAUACGCCCAACCAAUAGGAGGCUCAUGAUUCGUUCAGGGCCCAUGUGGCCUGGACAAAUAAGAAAACCCAAAUUCAGAUCAUUGUACAGAUUCCACCUGACCCUUCACGUUGAAUCAGAUUUGCGUUGUAACGAAGCAGCUGUUUCAAGUUUUCUAGCAGAAAUUCUACAAUAGCAUCGGACAUUAUUUCGCCGAUUAAUUCUCGAUUGAAAGGAAAAUCUAACUAUAUGUUGUAGCUAUACAUGGUGUCAAGAGAAGAUGAAAAGGCUUGAAGAAAGAGCUCAGAAAAAGCUUUUAUAUUUUCAGGAAAGUGCAGAGGAAAUUGCUUAUGGAAACGAGUUGUUGAUGUAACUUGAGAGACCAAGUCAUUGUAUAAUCUUUUAUUCUGAACCCACUUGCCAACAAAUAAAUUAAAAGCAAAUGACAGAUAAGAAUUGCAAUAAUUUAAAUUAAAGGUGUGUGUUCAUUCGUCGAGUUGAAAAAAUUGUAAAAGGUCACGGGCCCGCCUGCAUAAAUGAGGAUUAAAGUAACAUUUGCUUCGAAAUUACUGGGAAGGUGAAGUGGGAACGGAAACUUAUUCAAAAUGCUAUAACACACACACGGAAAGGCCGAAUGACUCGCUACUUAUCAUAUCCACCUCCAUCCCAACUCCCAAAACACGUCGCUCCCCUAUCUGCCACCCCAACUAGGAGUGAGCGACAGUGCGAAUAAUUCAUCAUUUUAUAUUUAUUGCUAAAAAGUCACGCUUGUAUUGGUAUUCGAAGCAAUUUUGUAUUUACUGUAUUUUAUUCAUAGUGUCAAUAUUUUUAUUUAUUGGUACCAUUAAAUAUAGGUGCAAUCGAGGAAGCAACACAACUACACGAGCAAGAAUUAACCCCAAGGGCUAAUUAACCUACUGUCGGCAUUAGCGGAAUCAAAGGAUAUAACUCGAAGCAUAUUGAGUCGGAAUGGGAUCGGUUGUUUUCACAUCUCACCGUAGUGUCGGGUUUGUGAAGAUUUCCGAUUGAUGAACAAGAAGGAAAAUGAAAAUCCUUUUUUUUUUUUUUUUUUUUUUUUUUACUCAUCCUCGGCUACGUGUCUUUUGGACCCUUCGCCCGACCGCCAUCAGUGGGAGCAAGUUAAAUUCUAAUCUAAGCUCAAUGCUCAAUUAAUCAAAUCUUGUUGAAGAGACUACAAUUAUUAUAUACUAUUUCCAUGACAUUUACAAAACGUGAAUAUCUUAUUUUUAAAUUAGGCAUUUUAUUUAAUGCGUGUUUAACUAAAUUUACUUAUGGUAAUUAAGUAAAUUUUAUAAUAGAAAAUUUGGAUUGAUCAAUCUAAAAAUUACUUAUUUUAAUAGUUAAAGACAUUAUACACCACAUGCCUUGCUAAGCUUAAAAAUAAUUAAUUUUUUAUUCCUACAUAUGUUUUCAUAUAUUACCUAUUCAUACUUAUAAGAAAAAAUUAUUUAUUUAUAAAUUAAUAUGUAUAUUCUUGAAACUAAGCAACAUAUGAACAUGAAUUAAAUAUAAUUUCUUUGGACUCUCAUAAUUCUUAGUUGAUUUUUCUGUUUAGAUGUGAUUUCUCAUCACUAUGAAAUGAAGUAAUAUAAAAGUUUGUUGUUCAUACCAAAUAGCAUUUUGGGACAAUAACAUAUAGUGAUGUAUUAUUGAUUGCGUUUUUUGACCAAAACUUUCAAGUUUUUGAAUUACUGUUUGUCAAAUUUAUUUAGAAUAGUAUUCAUUAGAUAAUUUCUUAGUUUUUCAAUGGUGGAUAUGUAUCCUUUGCUUAUUCCGAUCAUGGUUCGGUUAGUUUAUAUUUUUUAAUGUAAGCGUCGAUUUUUUAUUUGGUAAGAAAAUAUAAAAAGAUUUAGUGAGACAUUUUAGGGUGAUAACAUCGAGAGUUCUUUUAUUUCAUUGAGUGUUGUACACUCUGUCGCUAAUGUCAUGAAUUUAGCCUCUUGCGACGUGAGUUCAUCCGAAAAUUUUUAAAUAUCAGCUUAUCCUAACAUCAUUUUCUAGCUUUGCCUCUGUUGUACUGUCUACAGAAUCUAAAAGUAGGAGCAGUGGCGUGUUUAAAGACAAUUAGAAAGUUUAAGAGAGUAUAAUGGGCAUGGGAUACUCUUUUAUCUGUGAAUUCCGCUCGAUGCCAUUUAUUUCUUCAUUAAAAUAGUAAAUUAUUUGUUCACGGGACUAUAAAAGGAAUUAAAGGUUGAUUCCCUCAAUAAAAAAUUUUAAUCACAAGCUGAUAUUAUUUUAAUUGAUGAAAUUUCAUGACUUAAAACACUUGUAGUUUUAAAAGACUUGGUGAGAUCAAUAAUAAACUCUAUUGCCAUCAAGUAACAAGAUCAGUGAAAUCAAUAAUAAACUCCUUUGCCAUCAAGCUAUCUAUCGAUUUUGAUUUCUUUCAUAUACACAAAACUGAUAAAUUUUGGAACAGUUUUAAUGGCCUGAAGUUUUGGUAAUGCAUAUUAAUCAAGGUUCAUAUUGUUCCUAUUUAGGAGAGGUCAUAUUGUCAAUGUACUAGUAAAAGGGCUCUUUGAAACAGAAGACAUUGGUAAGUAGGCCAACCCCUACAUAAGUUGACAUUAGUCUAGAAGAGAAGCAUGCUACCUUUCGUUGAUCCAACUUCUCGAACUCGGAAGAAAGAAUCAUAAAAAGAGAUAAUUCCAUCAUUAACCUUACGAAAGUUUUUACUUUCUAUUAAAAGGAGAGAACUUCAAUUUAAAUGGACGCUUUUGUAUUGACUAAUGCACUUGUGCGUUCAGAUUGAUGAAUGAGAAUAUAAUAUAUAGAGUAGAGCAAAAUGCAAAGGCUAAGGAAAAUGCAAUACUAUAUUUUACAUAAUUCUUAGCAAGUUAGCCAUGGUUGCAACAUCAGAGUGUAAUUACAACAUAAAUUGGUUGUACUUAAAAAGUUAGUCGAAUUUACCUGUAAGUUACUUAUUUUGCAAACACGAUAAAGUUACAUUAUUUAAGAUAAAUAUAUGACCACCACAAUUUUAUUUAUUACACCACGUUAUAAACACACCACAAUUAAAACAUAUUUUGAUAAAUACAUCACAAGCAAUUUACAACUAAAACAUAACCCAAUCUAAAAUAUAAGAGGAAAAAUAUUUUAUUAUAUUUUAUAUUUCAGUGUCAAUAUUUUUAUAUAUUGGUACCAUUAAAAAUAGGUACAACCGGGGACAAGUCUUAACACGUUAAACUAUGACAUUUUAUUGAAAUAGUAAAUCAUUAUACAAAAAUUCCACCUGACCCUUCACGUCAAAAAUCAAAUUUGCAUUGUAAAGAAGCAGCUGUUUCAAGUUCUCUAGCAGAAAUUCUACAGCAGCAUCAAACAUUAUUUUGCCAAUUAAUUUCUUGAUUAAAAGGAAAAUCUAACUGGAUGUUGUAGCUAUACAUUGUGUCAAGUGAAGAGGAUAAAGCUUGUGGAUCAAUCAACAUUUGUCUUGCUUCCAGCGGCAAAGUGGAGGUUCGAAUCCUGGUGAGAACCUGCGGCCAGAUUUAUUUGAUAUGGAGCAAUCACUUUGGAGGAGGAUCUCUUGUGCGCAGAAGUGUACAGGCAGUGAAGGGAAUUUGUGAUCCAGUUGAGGCAUAACCCGCGAUUUACCCCUUCCAAGGUUCUAGGGGCAAGGGUCUUGGGGGUUCAGGAUUUAAUCUAGUGUAAAUUGGGAUACUUGGAUAUCAAAAAAAAAAAAAAGAUGAUGAAGCUUGAAGCUUGAAGAAAGAACUCAGAAAAAGCUUUGAUAUUUUCAGGAAAGUGCAGUGGAAAUUGCUUAUAGAAACGAAUUAUUGAUGCAACUUGAGAGACCAAGUCAUUGUAUAAUCUUUUAUUCUGAACCCACCUACCAAAUGACAAAUAAGAAUUGGAAUAAUUUAAAGGCGUGUGUUCACUGUUCAUUCGCUGAGUUGAAAGAAUUUUGAAAGGUCACGGGCCGGCCCACAUAAACACGGAAUAAAGUAACAGUUUCUUCGAAAUUACUGGGAAGGUGACAUGGGAACAUGAACUUAUUCAAAAUGUUAUUACAAAAAUAAAAAUAAAAAUAAAAAUAAAUAAAAAUGCUGAAUGAGUUGCUACUAAUCAUAUCAGCCUCAGUCCCAGCACAUGUCGCUCACCCAGCUACCACCCCAACAAGGAGUGCGCGAUGGUGUGAAUAAUUCCUCAUUUUAUAUUUAUUUCUAAAAAGUCACGCUUGUGCUGGUAUUUGAAGCAAUUUUGUAUUUAUUUUAUAGGAAAAAUUGUAGUCACGAUACAAAACUUUUCGUUUAUUAGAAGUUUUGAUCCAAACAUUUCAUUUGUGCUAUUGACGAUACCAAACUUUUAAAAAAAUUCACUUAAAGUCCAAAUGGAUGGCAACCGUUAAUUCAUUUGUUAGUUAAAUUAAAGUCAACAUUUUGACCAAAUUUUAAUUAAUUUUAAAAGGUUAAAAUAGUAAAAUUAUAUUUUUUUUAUAAAAAAUAGUUAAAAUAAAAAUCUAAGACACAAAUACACUUCAUUUUCUCCACAUACCCUACACACACCUAUCCCUAAAACCAAAACCAGGAACCAAAACCACGACUGCCACUCACCCCCACCACCUGCUGUCGCCACCGCCCAUGUCCAUCGCUACUCGACCUACACUUCAACAUUAUCCUCUCUCUGGAUGCCAAUUCCUAGAUUUUGCAAUAGUUGGGCUAGUUUUAUUUCAACUGUUGCGGCCAAUUUAUAAGCCUCUCAUUUAUCUCUAUAUCUAUUCCAACUAUUCAAAUUGAUUACCUAAUAAUUUCUCCAUCGAUUCCUUUGUUAUUCACUCAAUUUUGUGUUGAAAGAAAAAAUUUGUGAUAUUAUUCCAACUAUUCAAAAAGGUUAGAGAUGUUGAAUCCAUACUCAAAUUUGACUGGAGCCACCACGGCUUAUACACGACAUUUGAGGCUAUGGUAGGCGGUUGUGAUUUGUUGAUUUAUUACUAAAAUUCUUGAAAUUGGUGGGUUGUGAGAAUUCAUAGAUUCCAUUUAUUACGUCAUUUUUCAUCUGCCAUUUGAAAAUUUUUCCUCAACUAUAUAGACGAAAUUUACUUUGGUGAUGGAUGGAUAAAUUAACGAAUAAUUUAGUGAGUAUUCGAUAAUCAUUUAUUUUUCGAUGAGCAAACAGUAACAAUCGAUAAGAUUCAGCAGGCACGAAAAGCAUUUAAAUUAAAAAUAUAUGAAUAAUUAAAACUGCACUUGACGGGAACAUUUCUGCUCACUAUCGAAUCUCGUUGACUAACUGCCAAAUGCCGUGACCGACACGUCACAUUCACUGCUUUACCCUUGUUUGUUUCUCUCCCAAAAACAAAUCAGUUGGAGUAGAUUUGGAAGAAAACACAUAGCAAGAUUAUUUUUAUUUUUAUUUUAUUUAUAGAAGGAAUAGUGUUAUUUGCAAUAACUUAUUAUCAAAAUCGUCCUACGUGGUAUACAUAUAAUAGUUAGUAAUUUGCUAAAUAAGUCAAGAAAAACAACAUUAAAUCACAAACAAUUAUCUAGAAUGUCACGUAGAGAGACUAUCGCAAUGAGGGACAAUAAAUAUUAUUACUCUUAUAGAAGAAAUAUGACCGUUAGUUUAGGGAAUUUUGUCCAUUUCAUCGGACACUGUCAAAUUAGCAAGGUUCAUUACACGGCUUCUAUAUUCUCACUUUCCCAACAUUGCCCUUCUCUCAUGGCAUUGAAAAUUCAAUUUCAGCGGGCUUGUGAAAAUUGCACUCGAAACGAGACAGUGAUAUGACCAUGAACAUGACAGAGACAGACGGACCCGCAAGACUAGUCUAGGAAAAAGAAACAAGUGGGGACGGGUAUUUUUUUUCAUUUGGUAGACUUUAAUUUGAAAAAAUUAUAUUUUAAAUAAUACUUUUUAAAUAAUGCGUGGUUAAAAAAUUAAAAAUUUUUAAAUUAAUGCAUAAAAUAUUUUAUUAUGUAAAUGUAUAAUUAAAAUUUAGCAUGAGAAAAAAAUUAGGAUCCGUGUGAUUGCAAAGAUGAAAUUUGGGUGGAAAGAAAAUGAAUUUCAGGAAAUUGAAUUACCUAAAAAUUGUUUUCUUGAGAUUAUCAAUUUAUUGUGUUUGAUUGGUAUAAUUUUUACGUGAAAAAUUUUAAAAUAAAAGUAUUUUUUGGUACUCGUUUGAAUUUAUUUUAAUGAAAAUUGUCAAUUAAAGGGAUAAAAUUUACUGAUAUUGGGAUAGAAUUUGUUUCCAUUGUAAAAAAUAAAAAAAAUAAAAAAUAAAAAACACACACAAGAAAAUCAUCUAUAUUUUAGUGUUCCUUUGACUUUGUUAUAAUGGAAAUUGUCAAUUAAAGAGAAAUAUUUUUUUAAUAAUUCUUAUAAUUUGUUUCCAUUACAAAUUUUCCUAUGGUGAGAAUUAAUUUUCCUCAAUUACAUGGAAAAUGUCUAGGUAGCAUCCAAAGUUGGAAAAUGUUUUCCAUGAAAAAUAAAUCCUAUCAAAAACUACAAAAGUUGAAAAAUGAACUUGAUUUUCCAAAUUCCGUGGAAAACCUUUGGCUAUCAAACAUAGCCUAAUAGAUUAGAGUGAAAUGAAUUUUUAAUUUAGUUUCCAUUUGAGACUUAUGGCCUGUUUGGGGGUGAUUUUUCUUCCAAAAAAAUUGAUUUUUUUGACCAUUAUUUCACUAUUUCAGCCGUCAUUUUGACUUCUUCUCUCAUAGGUGAAUCCCACUUUUCUCCUAACGGUCAGAAAAUCAAUUCUCAAAAUUCCUCCCAAACAAGCUCUUAAUUGCGGUCACAAGUUGACAAGUAAAGAGGUGACUUCAUUUUUUACUUCUUACAAUCACAAGCUAAAAUUAGGCAUUCAGUCCGAAACUUUCUUCAAAACAGAUAUAGACAAGCAUUAAAUUUGCCAUUCAUUCGAUAUUCAUGGAUUUUUACAUAUUUACAAUUAUCAAAACACAGUUUUCUUAUCUACCAAAAUAUAUGCAGAAUACAUUUUUACAUUGUCGAUACCCAAAAAAUGCUGCCUUUUUUCAUCAAGUUUCAGGAAAGGAAAGCCAAAUAACUUUAGUGUUCAACAAUAUAAAAGUUAUCGUGUUAUCAUCUAGAUGGUUUGUAUGUUGUUGUCCGAGCUAAUAAACAGAGAAGAAAAUAUAUUAUAACUAAAUUAAUUUUAGUAUUCUUCGUAAUCCCGUCACAACCAAAUUAAAAAUUUCAUAGAGAAAAUAACGUAAACACCAUAAACCAAAGGGGGAAAAAAAAAAACUAAUUACAAAUAACACUUAUUCUCAUGAUCCUAUGUAUAAAAAAUCUACAUAUCUUUCUAUAGUUCUCUUGCAGUUCUCAUUUUUCAUUGAACAAUUCUCUAUUACUCUGAAUCUGCAAUGCUCUACGUCUUAAUUCCGUCACAUUAUCAGGGUCCUAGUUGAAAUGGUUCCUCCAAAAUUUGGGUUUGAAGCAAGAUUGACAUGUAGUUCAUCGUGACAGUCAAAGUGCAUUAGACUUGAGCAAGAAUGCUACUUAUCAUUCUUAGACGAAGCACAUUGAUAUGAGAUAUCAUUGACUACGACAGAUAGUAACAGAACAAUUGAUAUUGUUAGAGAAGAUUCAUACAGAGAAGAAUCUAACUGAUAUGAUGACAAAUGUUGUGAUCGGAGAAAAGCUUGAGCUUUACGUUGGAUUGGUCAGCAUGGAUUCUAACUAAUCUGGUAGAGGAUAAUCUCUUUUCUCAAUGGACUAGAGGGGGGAAAUUAUUAUAUGGGCUUGUCCAGCCCAUGAGGAAAAAGGCCAAUCCUCUCUGUUUUCUACUAGAUCAACAAAAGUGGCUACACACACACAUAUAUAUCCCUAGAAAAACCGUGGCUUUUAUGGUGUGAGAGAAAAUACAAAAGGUUGCCAAGAGAGAAAAAUUGUGACUACACAUUCAAAGGUCAAAAAGGGUUACUGCUGGGUAUAUAUAUACAUACACAAAACAUGAGAGGGAAGAGAGAGGUUGGAAGAGAAAAAAAUAAACAACGGCUACUGUAGAAGAAAGUAGGGAUUGCCAAAGAAAGUUCUUUUUGAUAAUGAAAAGUCAAAAUUUUUUUUAAGGAAAUUUUAUUGGGUGUCAAAAUUUGACUUUUCACUAUAAAAAAUGUCAUCUUUUAAAUUUUCUAUCAAAAAUGUCAAUUUGACUCUUUGAAUUAUUUGAACACCUUAUAUAUUAAUUUUCAAGCAGGGGCCUGCAAAUUUUGAAUUUGCACAAUAGGUCCCGUCUCCAAUCACCCAAAUCUGCUGCUGAAAAUUUGGACAACAUUUUUUUUUCUUUUACAGCGUAGCGGAGCCCGCUGACAGUUUCCAGUAGCUGCUGCUGCAAUACAGCAGUGGCGGCUGCGAGCGCCACUGUCUCUGUGGUUGCCGCAUUCCUUGUCGUCGUCCUAUGAGCGUCGCUGCCUCUGUGGCAGACGCGACGAUCGCUGUCGCACUCCUUGCGGGCCUUUACCCUCCUUCUUUCUUUCUUCCUUUUUUUUAUUAUUUAUUUAGGCCCAAAAUUUAUAAUCUUUUAAAAUCAAAAAUAGAUUUUUAAAAUUUAAAAUAAGGGUAAGUUGGAUAUUUUUCACAAAAAAAAAGUGACAUUUUUGAUAAAAUUAGGUGCACAUGCAAAUUUUUUGUGUAUUAUAAAAAAAAGUGACAUUUUUUAUAAUUCCCCUUUAUUCUUCUCUAUAUAAUACAAAUUGAGAUUUUCUCGAAAGUGUAUUUUGGGUACUCUAGAGGUGUAGUAUUCAAAAUGGGUUCUCACAAAAUUAAUUAAAUUGGAGAUUUGUGAUGAUAUAAAUUGUUGUCUUAGAAAUUAAUUAUUAUGGUUUUUCCAAAUUGAUGAGAAUUCAAGUUUUGGGGCAUAAACUUGAAUAUUGUAAUCUAUAUUUUUAUUAUAGUGGAUUUUGGCCGAAGUUGUCCCCGUGAUUUUUUUCCCUCUAUAGGAGGGUUUUUUCCAGGUAAAAACUUGGUGUUGUGUUUACUUAUUUUUACUUUGAUUAUUUACUUGCAUAUUUAAUCACCCUAGUUGAUUGUUUGGAUUGGUGAAUUAUUCAUACAAUAAGUGAAAUUGCCCAACACUAAUUAAUCUGAUGCACUGGAUCUAGCGUGAGAUCAAGUGACCUCACAAAAUGUCCUAAAUUUUAUUUUUAAAUAUAUACUUUUGCUUUAUCCUCGAGAGAUUAAGUAAAUAGAUGCAAUCCGCUUAAAAUUCAGCAAUAGGUGGACUAAUAAAGCAGGGAAUUAAUCUUCAAUCGUAUGAUCAUCAUGAAUAUAGAUUGACGGAGCUUGGAGGGAAUGCUUGUUCGUAGCUGCACCACUAUUGAUAAACACAUUGCCCACGUUUGGUCCCACAAAUUGAAUAAUUCUACUCAAACAAGGGCAUGUGACAGGAGCGACAGUCACAGUAGCACGGCCCCUCAUAAAUUAGGUAUAAAAAAUGUGUACCCUUUGACACUUUCCUCGACAAAUAUGUGGACGUGCUAUCCCCAUAAUUGAAGAAAUUAAAACUUUUCAUCAACCAUCUUUACCAGUAUACCAUGUUGAGCUGGUUUACUGUCUCCUCAAAGGUGAUCUUUUGGGCUAUUUUGAAUGGCAAACCAAUCAUAUGAAUGAAUUACCCAAAUGGUCACUGAACUUUAUAAAAGGUUUUCACGAGGUUACUGAAUUUUAAAAACCAUUCAAUUCAUAACUAAACUUUGUAAAAGAUUUUCACGGGAUCAUUGAACUUUAAAAAUCAUUCAAUUCAUCACUAAACUUUGCAAAAGAUUUCCCAUGGGUCACCAAACACUGUGGAAAUCUUUUGUUAAGUUCAGUAAUUCCAUGAAUUUUUUUUGCAAAGUUUAGUAUUGAAUUGAGUGAUUUUUAAAGUUCAGCGACUCCGUGAAAACUUUUUUCCCAAUCAUAGAUACGCCUUUCAAAGGAAUCAAUAAUUAUCAUACAAAACACUCAAAUUUAUGAACACAUGAUAGAAUUUGAAACUAAAAACCCUAAACCAAAUAAUAAUAAUAAUAAUAAAAUGUAUAUAAUUUACCUUUAAUCGACCCUUUAUAAGGGUAUUUCGUAAAAUGUGCAAAAAUUUGGGGAGAUUUCUUGGCUUUGCGAGGUAUUGCGUAAAUAUUUUCUGUCUUGAUAGAUUAGAAUAGAGUGUCCUGUUAUCAACAUUGGAGGUAUAUUGAUUACCUGAGCUGCACUGUAAAAGAUUGCCAUUAUGAUUAUGGAAUUUUUGGUUACAAUGAGUUCCUUAAUAAGACUAUAUUAAUUGGGUACCAACCUUCAUUUUCAUGUCAAAAUGUUGAUUAAAAUUUGGUCCCCUAUUGGGUCUUUUUCAAUAAGCGAAAUAAAUUUUUAUCUAUUUCACUCUUACAUUUAUAGAUUUAGAUUGCAAUUCUUUUUCUCUUCUGACUUUUAGUUAAUUUUGUUUCAACGUUCUCAAUAAAUUUAAAUAUUUGUUGCUUUUUUCGAGCUAAUUUACUAAAAAUCUCGAUUAUGGUUCGAAUAAAAAUCUCUCAUAAUCAUUUAGUAGAAUCUUUUACAAAAUUUCCAGGUACGCACAAUUUACAUGUUCUCUACAUUUUUAGGUUCUGUUUGGCAGGACUUUUACUUUUUAUAAAAUAGUUUUAUGAGGAAGCAGUCUUAGACUAGUUUUAUCCAACAGUUUUUCCAGCAAGACAAAACACUUCUAGAAAAACAUGUAAACAUAUUCAAAAGUAACUUCUUAAUUUCAGAAACAACUUUUGACUUUUAAAAAUUCUUGUCAAACGGACCAUUAGUGUAACUAUUGCCCCAUACUCCUGGACUCAGGUUUCUAAAACCUCCAUGCUUCUUUUAUAGCUCGAUUAAGGUCCGUUUGAUAGGACUUUUGAAAAGUCAAAAGUUUCUUCUGAACAUAUUUGUAUAAUUUUCUGCAAGUACUUUGUGUAACUAGAAGAACUUUUAGAGGAUGUUGGCCUAUGACAACUUGCUUAGGAAGCUCUUUUACAAGAAACGUCAGUAAAAGCCCUAUCAAACAUUCCGACUCAUGUCAAGAAACUAAGAAGGCCUAGAUAUCUAUUUUUUCUUUCUCAUGGUCGUUACAUAUAUACGUUGAUAAAAUAACAAGUGCUUAGACAAGGCUGCUAUCAUAUUGCCAAACAAAAGUGGAAUAGAACAAGAGAAUAAUAAAUGGAGUCUUUAUACGGUGACGCAAGUCGAAGAAACAAAAAAUUGCCAUUCGGACGUUCCCUAUGUGGAUGACCUUCAUAAUAUGUGGCUGAUGACUUCAUUGGAAACAGCUACUUCCUCAAACAAGCAAACACUUGAAUCCCAAGUUAGCAUUUUUUAAACUUCCUUUUCUGUUCCUUCCAAUGCUACAUAAUAUCGUGAAAUCACUACUUCAAAAAACAAACGAAUAUUUUACACCACGACAAGGCAUUGGUACGGCUAUGAUAUGCUCGGUAUUAUGUUGUAUAACUGCUGCUUAGUCGAAGGUCGAAGGUUACAAAUUGUUAUUAGCCAUGGUUUACUGGACAAGCCCGAAGAAAGGAUACCAAUGAGUAUAAUUUGGUUGGUUCCACAGUUUUUCCUCCUAGCUGGCCUCGAAUCAUAUUUUGAAGGAAGUAUAAAGCGUCUCUUUUCUUAUCAAAUUCCUCCAUCAAGCAUAAAAGUAUCUCAAUUAUUUCACGGAAGGAAUAUUGGGUCUAGGAAUUACGAAUGGUUUUCUAUCAGUUUAUUUAGCAGGAAAGCUCAGUGAGAGAGGAGGAAAACCAAAUUGGUUUCAGGACACUUUGAACAGGAGUCGUUUGGACAAUUACUAUUGGACUCUAGCUACAUUAGGUGCUGCAAAUUUUUUGUACAUUUUGGUUUUAAUUUGUAUUCGGAAUCCCAAGUCACGACAUGAGGAAGCCGACAUCCAUGGAGAAUUUCAUGUAGCUGAUAGCAGUGAUGAGAUUUAGAUGCUAUUGUCGACACAAGUGUCUAAGCCUAGACAGUAUCUACCUGAUAUUUGCUUGUAAUGAUAAAUGUUGUAUCUGCAAUUGGAUUAUGCUUUAUCUUGGAUGAUUUUAUUUUAUUUUUAAGUGGAAACAGUAUUUAAUAAUGAGAGUAUAACUAUCCAGAUCAUCUAAUGAAUUGGCUUUCAAAUUUACUUUUUUUUUUUUUUUUUUAUAGUAAAUAUGAUGAUAUUAGGGGACAACGCAGGAAACUUGACUAGGAUCCUAAAAACAGAUUUAGAGUUUACCAGAGGAGUGUAUGAUGAGUUGAGUCCUCCCACAAUAUGAGAGAUAAGUCC